UACGUAGGGUGCGAGCGUUGCCCGGAUUUAUUGGGCGUAAAGGGCGCGUAGGCGGGAUGGCAAGUCAGUCGUGAAAUCUCUCGGCUCAACCGAGAAACGUCGGCUGAUACUGCCGUUCUUGAGGGAUGCAGAGGAGACUGGAAUUCCCGGUGUAGCGGUGAAAUGUGUAGAGAUCGGGAGGAACACCGGUGGCGAAGGCGGGUCUCUGGGCAUUUCCUGACGCUGAGGCGCGAAAGCGUGGGGAGCAAACGGG
rnacentral:rRNA from 1 species